GCCAAAUCACACUGAAAACACUGGUUCUCGUUUGAUUACAGAGGUUAAGCAAUGUUGAGCAUGGUCAGUACUCAGAUGGUUUUCCAUUUGGGAAAACUGGGUACUGUAAG